rnacentral:tRNA from 5 species
GGGUCCGUAGCUCAGUCGGUAGAGCAAGCGACUUUUAAUCGAGAGGUCAUGGGUUCGAAUCCCAUCGGACCCACCA